UACUAACAUUUCCUAAUCUACAUGAAAAGUAUUAUUAGCCCCCCUUUAUAGUGAGGGAAGUGAGGCAUAGCUUAAUUUACUUACCGGUGUUCACAUAACCAGCAAGAGGUUAAACUGAAGGUGGAAUGCAAGGGUGUUUGACUUUAUGCCCUGCCUACCUCUUUUCUUCUAUUUUCUACAUACAUUUUUAGGUGUCCACUAUGUGCCCUAAUGUGCUAUACACCAGGGAUUAGCCAUGAGAAGACCCCCAAAGAGGAAAUGAGUAUCCCUGCCCCCUUGGUACUUAACGAUCUUGUUCUGUAAUAUUGAAGAAAAGCAACUUGAUUCCACUGAGGCUACAUAUAAAUUAUGGUAAAUUAUGGCAUUCUCAUCAACGUUGACUUGGGCUUCCCUGGAGAAGAAACAAAAAGAGAUAAUCCACAGAAGAGCCAGCGAUAAUGGAUAACAAACUUCUAGUUCGAUCCAAGGAGAACAUGGCCUGUAUUAUAGCAAAGCAGUUUCAGUAUAGUGGUCAAACAUUAUAGUAGAUUGAGGUGGUUAAGCACAGAGAGUCCAAAGGUUUGAAUUUCUGACCUGUAUGAUUGUUCCUCUCUCAGAAGAACUUUUAACACUUCUUGCAAAGCAGAUUUACUGGCAACAAACAAAUGUUUUCAAUUUUUGUUUGUCUGAGAAAGUCUUUAUUUUUCUCUCACUUUUGGGUGAUAAGAUUGCUGGUAAAAGUUUCCUUUGAGGCCAGACCUUUGUUAAGAAGGGCAGAAUAUUAUGAGCAUAUUUCCAAAUGGUUCCUAUUUCCCUCCUCCUGCCAGAAACAUGACAGGAUUUUACUACUCUACCAGAUAAAGUGGAAGACAAACAAAGCUUUGACUGAGACUUCAAAUCCAAGAAGAAGACAAUAGAAGGCAAGUGCUUCCACGGUCCACACUAAGGCUCCAUACCUCAACAGGUGCAACAAAGGAGGGAUUGAGAGAGGAGAUAUUGAUUCUAAAUGAAAUUGGGUUUUA